GGGGAAUCUUCCGCAAUGGGCGAAUAGCCUGACGGAGCAACNGCCGCGUGGAGGGAGGAAGGCNCUGGUGGGUUGUAAACCUCUUUUCUCAGGGAAGAAGUUCUGACGGUACCUGAGGAAUCAGCAUCGGCUAACUCCGUGCCAGCAGCCGCGGUAAGACGGAGGAUGCAAGCGUUAUCCGGAAUUAUUGGGCGUAAAGCGUCCGUAGGCGGUUCAGAAAGUCUGCUGUUAAAGCUCACAGCUCAACUGUGAAUCGGCAGUGGAAACUUCUGGACUAGAGAGUGGUAGGGGUAGAGGGAAUUCCUAGUGUAGCGGUGAAAUGCGUAGAUAUUAGGAAGAACACCAGUGGCGAAGGCGCUCUACUGGGCCAUUACUGACGCUGAUGGACGAAAGCUAGGGGAGCGAAAGGGAUUAGAUACCCCUGUAGUCCUAGCUGUAAACGAUGGACACUAGGUGUUGGCCGUAUCGACCCGGUCAGUAUCGAAGCAAACGCGUUAAGU
rnacentral:rRNA from 1 species